GACGAACGCUGGCGGCGUGCUUAACACAUGCAAGUCGAACGGAAAGGCCCUGCUUUUGUGGGGUGCUCGAGUGGCGAACGGGUGAGUAACACGUGAGUAACCUGCCCUUGACUUUGGGAUAACUUCAGGAAACUGGGGCUAAUACCGGAUAGGAGCUCCUGCUGCAUGGUGGGGGUUGGAAAGUUUCGGCGGUUGGGGAUGGACUCGCGGCUUAUCAGCUUGUUGGUGGGGUAGUGGCUUACCAAGGCUUUGACGGGUAGCCGGCCUGGGAGGGUGACCGGCCACAUUGGGACUGAGAUGCGGCCCAGACUCCUUCGGGAGGCAGCAGUGGGGACUAUUGCACGAUGGGCGGAGGCCUGAUGCAGCAACGCCGCGUGCGGGAUGACGGCCUUCGGGUUGUAAACCGCUUUCGCCUGUGACGAAGCGUGAGUGACGGUAAUGGGUAAAGAAGCACCGGCUAACUACGU
rnacentral:rRNA from 1 species